AGCCAGUGAUGAGCCCAAUUGACUUCUGACACCUCGUAUGAGCGCUGCUGCUGCAGUCGCUGAUUACAUCCAUGUGCUGAGGCUC
ensembl:snoRNA